GCAAAAAAGUCAAAUUAUGUUCUCAAAAUAGAGGAGAGAUAAAAAAAAUCAAAUUAGUAUUAUUUAUUUUAAGGAUACAUGGAGCUCACCACGAAGAUCCGACCCUUGGAUCAUCCAAGCGUCAAAAUAUAAAAGGCUAAAGCUUCACCAAAAAAAUCCGAAAACACAUUACAAUUAUAAAGUGCCCAUUUCUUCUACGCGUUACAUCCCAAUUUUUUUUUUUUUUUCUCCUUUUCUCUAUGCUCUUUACAUCGACGAAGUUCGUGGCCGCUCCGUGUUGUCGCCGGCGCCUCUCCUUCCAUUGACGGAGCUCCGACUCGUACAUUUCCGGCGAUUUACUGUUUUACUCCGAUCGAUUUGACGGCUGUUGUCGUUCAAUUUUUGUUCUAUUGUGCAGGAACUGUGGUUGGCUGCUAAAGAUUAGCUGUUUAAGUUAUGGCUCUGGAUAGCGUAAUAACUUCUCCUCAUAGGAGGUCGCAGUCACAGACAGCAUUUUCAUCUACCGAUCAAAAGAAGAAUCAAUACUCACGAAGUAAUGAGCUUGGGAGCUGUUCAACAGUACUUGAGCGCCACCGGUUCCUUCUAACUGCACUUGGCCUCCUAGCUUUUCUCUGCACUAUCUAUCUUUACUUUGCAGUCACUCUAGGGGCUGGUGAUGCCUGUUCUGGCUUGACAGGGACUCAAAAAACAGCAUGUUAUGUGGAGCACGGGAAAGCACACAUGAGCAAAGGAAAACUUAAGUUCUUUUAGUAAAGUAAUAGCUGCUGGCUAAUAUUUUAGUAUAUGAUAUUUCUUUUUCUUCCGAGAGGCAGAAAGCGCUAUCCAAGUGUUUCUGUAGGUUCUUUGGGUCUAUUGGGUGAUCAUUAGUUUGAUUGUAUUCUUGAAAAUGUGUAAUUUGGUUCCGGGCAUCCGUGAAUAGUUCUCCCUAUUGGGAUGAACUCAACUCAUGGAUGUUAGCAAGGUCCGGCCGACUGUUCAAGUUGCAUUUCUUGUGGACAAUGAACCUGAAAGACAAUGUGAUUAUGAAUGUAUGUUGAAGGUAGCUUUAUUAGGUGGAAUUGAAAAAAGAAGUUAAUAGCAAAUUAUCAUUCUUUGAGA